UGGUGUUUUUAGCGUAAUGGAACCACUUUGAUCCAUCUCGAACUCAGUUGUGAAACGUUACAGCGGCGAAAAUACUAUAAGGGUAGCUUUAUGGAAAGAUAGCUCAAUGCCAAAGCU
rnacentral:rRNA from 1 species